CAGCCUGAUGGCCAGAUGCCAAGUGACAAGACCAUUGUGGGAGGAGAUGACUCCUUCAACACCUUCUUCGGUGAGACAGGAGCUGGCAAGCAUGUGCCCCAGGCUGUGUUCGUAGACCUGGAACCCACAGUUAUUGAUGAAGUUCGCACUGGUACCUACCGCCAGCUCUUCCACCCUAAGCAGCUCAUCACAGGUGAGGAGGAUGCUGCCAAUAACUAUGCCCGUGGCCACUACACCAUUAGCAAGGAGUUCAUUGACCUUGUCUUGGACAGGAUUUGCAAGCUAGCCGACCAGUACACUGGUCUCCAGGGCUUCUUGGUUUUCCACAGCUUUGGUUGGGGAACUGGCUCUGGGUUCACCUCCCUACUGAUGGAACCUCUCUGUUGAUUACAGAAAGAAGUUCAAGCUGAAAUUCUCCAUUUACCCAGGCCCCCAGGCUUCUACUGCUGUGAUUGAGCCCUAUAAUUCCAUCCUCACCACCCACACCACCCUGAAGCACUCUGAUUGUGCCUUCAUGGUAGGCAAUAAGGCCAUCUAUGACAUCUGUCAUAGAAACCUCGAUAUUGAGUGCCCAACUUACACUAACCUUAACUGCCUUAUUAGCCAGAUUGUGUCUUCUAUCACUGCUUCCCUCAGACUUGAUGGGGCCUUGAAUGUUGAUCUGACAGAAUUCUAGACCAACCUGGUACCCUACCCUUGUAUCUACUUCCUUCUGGCUACUUAUGCCCCUGUCAUCUCUGCUGAGAAAGCCCAUCAUGAGCAGCUUUUGUAGCAGAGGUCACCAAUGCCUGCUUUGAGCCAGACAACCAGAUGGUGAAAUGUGACCCAUGCCAUGGUAAAUACAUGGCUUGCUGCCUGUUUUAUCUUGGUGAUAUGGUUCCCAAAGAUGUCAAUGCUGCCAGUGCCACCAUCAAGACAAAGCACAGCAUCCAGUUUAUAGACUGGUGCCACAGUGGCUUCAAGGUUGUCAUUAAUUACCAGCUUCCCACUGUGGUACCCAGUGGUGACCUGGCCAAGGUCCAGAGAGCUGUGUGCAUACUGAGCAACACCACAGCCAUUGCUGAGGCCUGGGCUCGCCUAGAUCACAAGUUUGAUCUGAUGUAUGCCAAGCAUGCCUUUGUGCACUGGUAUGUGGGUGAGGGCAUGGAAGAGGGGAAGUUCUCUGAGGCCCAUGAGGACAUGGAUGCCCUAGAGAAGGAUUAUGAGGAGGUUGGUGUGGAUUCUGUGGAAGGUGAGGGUAAGGAAGGAGAGGAAUACUAAGUCCAUUCCUCUAGCUCCUGUGUCAUGUCAAACUCCAGCUCCAGUAUUAGCUGCAGACAUUGAUGCUUCCGUGUUGUUUCCAUUCUGUGAUCAUGUCUUCUUCAUUU